UAGCGUUGUUCGGAAUCACUGGGCGUAAAGCGCACGUAGGCGGAUGUGUCAGUCAGGGGUGAAAUCCCGGAGCUCAACUUCGGAACUGCCCUUGAUACAGCACGUCUCGAGUCCGAGAGAGGUGAGUGGAAUUCCUAGUGUAGAGGUGAAAUUCGUAGAUAUUAGGAAGAACACCAGUGGCGAAGGCGGCUCACUGGCCCGGUACUGACGCUGAGGCGCGAAAGCGUGGGGAGCAAACAGG
rnacentral:rRNA from 1 species